rnacentral:ncRNA from 1 species
UUGGCACAUUCCGAAAAGCCUAAACAGAGUAGGAA